UUAGGAAUCUUCCACAAUGGGCGAAAGCCUGAUGGAGCAACGCCGCGUGAAGGAUGAAGGCCCUCGGGUCGUAAACUUCUUUUAUAAGUGAAGAAUAUGACGGUAACUUAUGAAUAAGCACCGGCUAACUACGUGCCAGCAGCCGCGGUCAUACGUAGGGUGCAAGCAUUAUCCGGAGUGACUGGGCGUAAAGAGUUGCGUAGGUGGUUUGUUAAGUAGAUAGUGAAAUCUGGCGGCUCAACCGUACAGGCUAUUAUCUAAACUGGCAAACUCGAGAAUGGUAGAGGUAACUGGAAUUUCUUGUGUAGGAGUGAAAUCCGUAGAUAUAAGAAGGAACACCAGUGGCGUAGGCAGGUUACUGGACCAUUUCUGACACUGAGGCACGAAAGCGUGGGGAGCGAACCGG
rnacentral:rRNA from 1 species